GCCUGUGUGGCUCAGUCAGUUGAGUGCCUGGCUUCGGCUCAGGUCAGUCUGUGGGUUUGAGCCCCGCUUUGGGCU
rnacentral:tRNA from 1 species